GUAAGCCCGCAAGCGCCGGAACCCUGCCCGGCCCGUCCGGGGAGGGUUGACGAGGCGGGGGAUCUCGAAGGAUUCGGCGGGUGACCCCCGGCCUACCCGACGGCCGUGAAACCGCGGACAAAGGCCAGGCCGUAAGGCGGGCACAAAGCCGCGGGGGUCGGGCCC
rnacentral:ncRNA from 1 species